rnacentral:rRNA from 1 species
CUAGCGACUUCAGAGUUUGAUCCUGGCUCAGGACGAACGCUGGCGGCGUGCCUAACACAUGCAAGUCGAACGAGAAUCGACGGAUUGAGACUUCGGUUGAUUGAAGUUGAGGAAAGUGGCGAACGGGUGAGUAACGCGUGAGAAACCUGCCUCUCAGUGGGGGACAACAGUUGGAAACGACUGCUAAUACCGCAUAACAUAUUCGGAAGGCAUCUUCUGGAUAUCAAAGCUUUAUGUGCUGAGAGAUGGUCUCGCGUCUGAUUAGCUAGAUGGCGGGGUAACGGCCCACCAUGGCGACGAUCAGUAGCCGGUCUGAGAGGAUGAACGGCCACAUUGGGACUGAGAUACGGCCCAG